CCUUGAGGUCAGUCCUCGGUCAUCAGCUUUGACAAAUGAGGAAAGGAAGACGCAGACGGGGAAGCAGCUGGCUCAUUCAUUCAGUCAGGUUUCUGAGAAGCAGACCUCGUGCUGAGGAGACCUGUGAGACUGGUUUAUUGAGGAAAUGCCUGCAGGAGAACUGGAGGAGGAGCUGGGGCAGCCGGAAAAGGAAGGGGAAGAAACUACGCAGGGUGUGAAUCUGAAUCAGGAGCAGCCUCGGCCAGAUCCCUCAGAGGCAGCUCUCUGCGACUGGAGUGAAGUGCGACUGGAGGAGGUACAUCCGGGUGGCACAUUCCAGUACCCACCACACACGUCAGAGCGGAGAGAGCACCGGCUGAGAGCCAAAGACCAUCCUGCCUCGGCCACUGUCCAGCUGUGCGACUUCAGGCAAGACCUUCCCUUCCCAGGGCCGCCGGAGCUCACCCAGGUGUAAGUCACCAAGAUGACGGCUUCAACCAAUCCGCAUACAGCACAUUGCAGUUCACCAGGCAGCUCUGUGAACUUUAACUCUCAACAAUCUUGCGAUGCCAGGAGUCAGUCACCCAGUGGGUUUUAGGGCAGCGCGGUCCCAGUGAGGGCUGAGGACCGGAGUUCGCCUGUGAGCUGCUUGGUACUGGCCUCCGACAAAGGACGGAAUUCGAGAAUAACUACUGGGAACAUUAGAGCAGCGAUUUUCAACCUUUUCGUUACUAAAAUUCUGUGUGGCACAGCAAAAAAAUGUAUUUUUUGCUGAUCUGACCAAAAAAUAGCUAUAAUUUUGAUUCAUUCACACACCAGAUGGCUAUUGUUGUAUUGACUGUUGUCAUUUUUUUAUUUGGCAAUCUAAGGGAGAAGAGGUCAGUGCCCCCGACUAAAUAGACAGGUAUUGUGUGUUUUAAAAUUCUUGAGGCACACCAGUUAAAAUCGCCGCCUAGCGCAACGUGACAGAGUGAUUUCAUGUCUAUUAAAAAAUUUUUUUAAUUUGGCUGAUGAUA